rnacentral:rRNA from 1 species
UACGGAGGAGGCAAGCGUUAUCCGGAAUUAUUGGGCGUAAAGCGUCCGCAGGUGGCACUUCAAGUCUGUCGUCAAAGACUGGGGCUUAAUCCUGGUAAGGCGGUGGAAACUGAAGCGCUAGAGUAUCGGAGAGGUUGGUGGAAUUCUCGGUGUAGAGGUGAAAUUCGUAGAUAUCGAGAGGAACACCGGUGGCGAAGGCGGCCAACUGGACGAAUACUGACGCUGAGACUCGAAAGCGUGGGGAGCAAACAGG